rnacentral:lncRNA from 1 species
CAGAUUCCAGGGACCCGUGGACCAUCCCGAGGGAGCCAGGGUCCAGGAGUCCUGGUAGGAAAACCCGUGAGCCAAGGGACAGGCAGCCAUUCCAACCAAUGGCCGGGGGAGGGAGUGGGUGGAGAGAGAGAAGCAGCUUCUGUGAUGAUGGGACUAAAAUAUCCUCUACAGAACUGGCGGAGAAGGAGAAGUGGGGCUCCUGGUAGGAAGAAAGCUGAGGUCUUAAAUCUGCCUUUUUUUUUUUUUUAAAUAUAUCCCUGCCAUCUUUAAUUCGGCUUUUCUGAAAGAUGGACAUGUACCCAUCUUCAAACACACUGACCCAGACCUAGAUUAGAGAAGGGUGGAGGGAGGUGUGCAUGCGGGGAAACGUGGGCACAGGCAGUGCUCAGGCCAGAGCCCAGAUGGAGUUUGAGAAGAUUGGGAUCUUCUUGGAAGAAAAGCUGCCUCAAAGCUCCCUCAAGGGCCUUCUUUCGCAUCCCUCCUCUUGCCCCUCCUUCUCGCCUUCCAGAGUGAGAAUGCAUCGUUUGACUCUACUCAGCAAACCGAGGGUGGGGGCAAGGGACUUGUGCAAUGGAGAAGCAAGGGAAGAAAGCACGGUCACUAGCCUCAAGGAAUUUCUGAUUUUGUGGGGAGACACGGACUGGGAAAGCAGCUGCUCAGGAGGUACCUGUCCUAGCUGUUUGCUAACUAACACCCCGCAGGGAGUGUUUGGAGCCGAGCCCUCCCGCCGCUUUCCCUCCAGCAGCCCGGAGUCCCCGCGAUCCUGGGCCCGCGCGCCCCCCGGUGGCCGUGCCUCGUCUGCGCAGCCUUUUCCCUCUGGAGCUGCCAGAUGCGCGCACUAGGGCAAGACCUCAGCCGGCGAGGCGUCCCAGCGCUGGGGGUCUGUCACUGAGAGGAUCUGUCUCGGUUUUUGGCGGCCUUCUGUGUGUCCCUCUGCUCAUGUUUACCCCAGGGUGAGUAAGCCCAGCCUGCCUCUGCCUCUGUGCCUGCCGUUUAUGGGUGCUGGGCAUCUUGUGGGUUCGGUUUCUGCCACCAACCCCAUUAGUAGUUGACAGAGUAUGUCACGGUAGAAAUAACAGAUGCUGCGGCUUGGACCCAAGUCCAAGGAGCAGGAUGUCGAAGUUCCACUUCCUACUGGUACGCCCCAUAGUAAAUAAUCUGAUGUCUAAAGCAGCCCUGCACAUUGGCGAAUGACGGAUAUUCUACGUUGGGGUCAAGUUCCUUCCAACAGGAGAAAGUAAAUGAAGAGCCUCUCAAUCUCAUCAGUUUAGGCUGGAUUCCCUGCCCUUCUGGAGCGCACCGUUGUGUUUCCUGCAUUCUAGUGUGGAGGUCAAUACCCUAAGACCUCCAGCAGCCCUUCUACCAGGGCUUUCUUGGAGGGAGGGAGGCACUUGCUCGCUGCUGUUGUAAACAGGACUCCAAGCAGCCUGCUUUCAAAUCUCAGAACUCCUCAAAGUGAGGAUGCAAUGAACACUUUGACUCUGGCUUACGCAGUGCAAAAAGUAAGCCCUAAAAUCGAGGAAGGAAACACAAAACUGUCUCUCUUUUAAGCAAACCCUAGAAAUUCAGAAUGAAAAUAUUCUCCAACUGAGAACAGCAUUGGAGGGUGGAAGGGAGUUCCAGAGACAGCAAGAUACCCUCAUGGACCAGCCUGUAGAUUUCUCCAACAGCUCUGACCCCGAGUCCAUUAGCAAGAACCUCACUGCCCCAUAAACAAACUCAACCGUCUUAACCUAGUGGUUUCCAUGGUAACCAUCACAGGGUGAUCCCCUUUCUUUCCUACAGAUGUUCCUCCUACCCCUCCCCUCCCCAAUCACUUUCAGACAUGGCCUAGAAGUGGAUUCUAUCCAAAUAUAUUUGCAAACCAUUCUCCCCCAUUUAAUCCAUAUUUUAAGAGAAAAAACCGGUAAUGUCAGGUGCAUGAGAGCAUGAGAAUUCGUUUUCUUAUUCCUUUUGAGUGUGCUUACAAUUUCCUACAAUGAAGAAAAAUUUUUAAAGUAAAUUAAAGGUGUGUGUGGGUUUUAAGUAAUCUCUGUGCCCAACAUGGGGCUGGAACUCACAACCCUGAGAUCAAGAGUCGCACGCUCUACUGACUUGAGCCAGCCACGUGCCCCUAAAGUAAAUUAAAGAAAAAUUUUUUUUUCUGAAAAAAUUUUCAGGCAAAAAAGAAAAAACAAAAUUCAAAACCUUCUUUCAAUAUAUCUGAAGAAAAUUUGGCUUUUGUGAAGAAUGAGGAGAGCUUAUGAAAUAAAUACCAUUUGCUACAAAAGGAACUAAUUGUA